GACGAACGCUGGCGGCGUGCCUAACACAUGCAAGUCGAACGGAGUUUCCAGCAAUGGAUUCUUAGUGGCGAACGGGUGAGUAACGCGUAGACAACCUACCGCUUAGAUGGGGACAACACUGCGAAAGUGGUGCUAAUACCGAAUGUUGUAUCGAAGUUGCAUAACUUUGCUACUAAAGAUGGCCUCUAUUUAUAAGCUAUCGCUGAGUGAUGGGUCUGCGUCUGAUUAGCUAGUUGGUGAGGUAAUGGCUCACCAAGGCCACGAUCAGUAGCCGGUCUGAGAGGAUGAACGGCCACAUUGGGACUGAGACACGGCCCAAACUCCUACGGGAGGCAG
rnacentral:rRNA from 1 species